GACGAACGCUGGCGGCGUGCUUAACACAUGCAAGUCGAACGGUGAACGAGGGAGCUUGCUCCCUCCGGAUCAGUGGCGAACGGGUGAGUAACACGUGAGCAAUCUGCCCCGAACUCUGGGAUAAGCGUUGGAAACGACGUCUAAUACCGGAUACGACGCGGGAGGGCAUCCUCUCCGCGUGGAAAGAACUUCGGUUCGGGAUGAGCUCGCGGCCUAUCAGCUUGUUGGUGAGGUAACGGCUCACCAAGGCGACGACGGGUAGCCGGCCUGAGAGGGUGACCGGCCACACUGGGACUGAGACACGGCCCAGACCCCUACGGGAGGCAGCAGUGGGGAAUAUUGCACAAUGGGCGCAAGCCUGAUGCAGCAACGCCGCGUGAGGGACGACGGCCUUCGGGUUGUAAACCUCUUUUAGCAGGGAAGAAGCGAAAGUGACGGUACCUGCAGAAAAAGCACCGGCUAACUACGUG
rnacentral:rRNA from 1 species